AACGGCCACACCAUGCUGAAUAUACCGGCUCUCGUUAGAUCACCGAAGUCAAGCAUUAUUGGGCCCGGUCAUUACUUGGGUGGGUGACCACCUGGGAACACCGCGUGCCGUU
rnacentral:rRNA from 1 species